GUGAAGCGGCAACAGCUCAAAUUUGAAAUCUGGCUUCGGCCCGAGUUGUAAUUUGCAGAGGAAGCUUUAGGCGCGGCACCAUCUGAGUCCCCUGGAACGGGGCGCCAUAGAGGGUGAGAGCCCCGUAUAGAUGGACGCUAAGCCUGUGUAAAGCUCCUUCGACGAGUCGAGUAGUUUGGGAAUGCUGCUCAAAAUGGGAGGUAAAUUUCUUCUAAAGCUAAAUAUUGGCCAGAGACCGAUAGCGCACAAGUAGAGUGAUCGAAAGAUGAAAAGCACUUUGAAAAGAGGGUUAAAUAGCACGUGAAAUUGUUGAAAGGGAAGCGCUUGUGACCAGACUUGCGCCUGGCUGAUCAUCCGGUGUUCUCACCGGUGCACUCUGCCAGGCUCAGGCCAGCAUCGGUUCUCGCGGGGGGAUAAAGGCCCUGGGAACGUAGCUCCUCCGGGAGUGUUAUAGCCCAGGGUGCAAUGCCCUCGCGGGGACCGAGGUUCGCGCAUCUGCAAGGAUGCUGGCGUAAUGGUCAUCAGCGACCCGUCUUGAAACACGGACCAAGGAGUCAAGGUUUUGCGCGAGUGUUUGGGUGUCAAACCCGCACGCGUAAUGAAAGUGAACGUAGGUGAGAGCUUCGGCGCAUCAUCGACCGAUCCUGAUGUUUUCGGAUGGAUUUGAGUAGGAGCGUUAAGCCUUGGACCCGAAAGAUGGUGAACUAUGCUUGGAUAGGGUGAAGCCAGAGGAAACUCUGGUGGAGGCUCGCAGCGGUUCUGACGUGCAAAUCGAUCGUCAAAUCUGAGCAUGGGG
rnacentral:rRNA from 1 species